rnacentral:lncRNA from 1 species
UCCCCAGGCUGGGACUACUUGUUAACAGCCACAACUUCUGGAGGACAAGCAGGAUGCAGUAAUCGUAUUAGGAGAAAGCAGGUAAAUAAGAUUUCAACACAAUGUUAUUCUGGCAACAAGGAUGAAAUUGUAUUAAAUUUGAAUUGCCAUAGACACUGUAAAUCCUCCUGGAAAUCCCUAUUUGAAAGUGCUCCAGUCUCCAGCUUCAGCGACCUGCUUUGAGCUACAUUUCUCUUCAUCCUUCAAAUGAUCCCCAAAUGACUUGGUUUUGUGCUCCCUCAACAUAUUGAUCAUCUCUUCUGGAUGACAGCCACCUGGUUAACAUCUCUGAAAAAGCAGAACAGUCAAGUUUUGAAAAAAAUAAUCCAGAUGUGAUAUAACCAAGUACGAGUAAAGACAUACUAUAACUUCCUUUGUCUGCAUAUCAAACUUUAGUUAAUUCAGUC